UACGAAGGGGGCUAGCGUUGCUCGGAAUCACUGGGCGUAAAGCGCGCGCAGGCGGUCUUCCAAGUCAGUGGUGAAAGCCCGGAGCUCAACUCCGGAACUGCCAUUGAAACUGUGAGACUGGAGUACGAGAGAGGUGAGUGGAAUUCCCAGUGUAGAGGUGAAAUUCGUAGAUAUUGGGAAGAACACCGGUGGCGAAGGCGGCUCACUGGCUCGUAACUGACGCUCAGGCGCGACAGCGUGGGGAUCAAACAGG
rnacentral:rRNA from 1 species